rnacentral:rRNA from 1 species
UACGUAGGGUGCAAGCGUUAAUCGGAAUUACUGGGCGUAAAGCGUGCGCAGGCGGUUGUGCAAGACAGAUGUGAAAUCCCCGGGCUUAACCUGGGAAUGGCAUCUGUGACUGCACGGCUAGAGUGUGUCAGAGGGGGGUAGGAAUUCCACGUGUAGCAGUGAAAUGCGUAGAUAUGUGGAGGAAUACCGAUGGCGAAGGCAGCCCCCUGGGAUAACACUGACGCUCAUGCACGAAAGCGUGGGGAGCAAACAGG